CAUUGAAACACCGGUUCUCGUACGAUCACCGAAGUUAAGCAAAGUUGGUCCUGGUCCGUACCUAUAUGGGUGACCAAUUGAGAAUAUCAGAUUCU